rnacentral:rRNA from 1 species
UACGAAGGGGGCUAGCGUUGCUCGGAAUCACUGGGCGUAAAGCGCACGUAGGCGGAUUGCUAAGUCAGGGGUGAAAUCCUGGAGCUCAACUCCAGAACUGCCCUUGAUACUGGCGGUCUCGAGUCCGGGAGAGGUGAGUGGAACUGCGAGUGUAGAGGUGAAAUUCGUAGAUAUUCGCAAGGACACCAGUGGCGAAGGCGGCUCACUGGCCCGAUACUGACGCUGAGGCACGAAAGCGUGGGGAGCAAACAGG